rnacentral:lncRNA from 1 species
GGGUCUCAAGUUGCCUAGGUGUAAAUGUACAUUAUAUAUACUUGAUGUUACAUUCUGAAUGUUUUUUUAGAGAACAUUCUGAAUGUUUUACAGUUCGGUCUAUGUACUCUACAGUUCAUCAGCAUCAGCUACAUCAUCGUUUACAAAUGAAGAAUGAGAAGCUUGGCAAAAAGAAAAAAGGGAGCUACAUAAGAAAGUUCAAUCCAACAACCUGAACAUGUGCACUACAUCAUGAAAAUGUCAAUAAUACAUUCAGUAAAAUUAUUUUGAAUCCAAACAUCUUGCAAGAACUUGAAUAUAGUGGUGGGGAUAAUUGGCAGGCCACAAACUCCUAAUGAUAAAUAAAAUAUCAUGGUGGGCAUUGUAUUCUCACCAACUAUCAAUGGCAUCCUGAAUCAACUCCAUGCUACCCGUCUAGGAAUAGGCUCUUGCCCUCCCAAAGUGAUGCCCAAUUUGGAAGACACUGGGGCACACAUUGCCACAAACUUUGCAUCACACAUGCAAAAGAAAAAAAGUUGCAUCCUAAAACGGAGUGAAACGAAAAAAAAACAGCCAAUACAUGGGUCACUAGGAGAAAAACAACACCACAGUAAAUUUGGUGACGAACUGCACCGAACACGAUGUUUAACAACAGAAAAAAAAAGCAUUAACCAUGGACCUAGGGACUGAUUGGUUUGAUGCGAAAUAUGGGCUAGUGUUUCGUUGGUUACCAUGUUUAUUUGCCAACCUUAUAAGAAAUUGUCAAUUUUUGACAUUUGAUAUUGUCAAUUGUUGGCUUGCCAAGUAUUGCCAAUGCCAAAUGUGAGCAUCAAACCAAUUAUCCUCCUAAUUUCUUUGGUGACCAUUCUGAAUGGUGGGGCCCGCCCAUCAGGGCCAUGCGUGCAUGUUGACUUAGUCUUCUUAUUCCUCCUCUGCUCUGGCUGGGGUAUUACAUCAAGCACUCACGUGCAUCAGAGAUGGCAGCACCAGCCUUGCUCUCGUGCCGACCUGACUGCUCCGGCGAGUCCAGGACACCGCGUCCAUCCCUCUGCGUCAUGAACUCCAUGCACCCACCUCGGCAGGAAGAACGAGAGCCAAAUACUCUGAGGGUGUGCACAUCCAUACGUCCAUGGCUUGGGCUCCACGCACGGAUGCAUACGUGCAUGGCUUGGCCAUCCACUACGGACCCAGCGGCAUCGCCACAUGUAUCACCCAAACACUCCAACACCGGAGAUCGACUAGGAUGCAAUGAGAAGCAUUGGAAUCAUGCUCCAUCACAAGUCAAAGUGAUCAGUGCAUGCAUGCGUCAAAGAGUGAAAGCACAUCCUGGUCACAUGGGAUAGACUUGAGGCUAAAGAUGGGGCAUUCCUAGAGAUGUCAUGGAGGUGGAGUCAUUUUUCCCAAUGCCGCUCAUACAUAAGCAUGGUUGUGUCAAAAUAGCAAUUGCGACAGGGUUUUUCCUCACUUCCAAGACAUGAAGCUCGGGCAAACAGAUGGAGAGAUGGUCUGCAUAUUUUUUUUAUGUGGGUCAUGUCACCACUCACGGCUCUAGUAUAUAAACAAGACAAAGAUAUAUAUGAUGGUAGGACUAGUAGUAGUUGCAGAUUUGGGUCACCGGCUCUCUUCUCAUAACUGUUGUUGUUUACUUCGUUUUUUAUAGAAAUAGCGAGAGAAAGAAACAGCGUUCCAUUGAAAUUGUCCAAUAUGUGUAUUGCGUAUUUUUAGGGAUGAUACCGAAUUGGAUUCGGAUAGGUAAUCCUUUUACUGUAUCAUAUUCCAUAUUUAUUUUUGAAUUUGGAAGCUGAAUGAAUACGGAUUCCAAUACUGGAUUAUGUUGAUUCAGACGUGGUGCAGUAAAGGAACGAUGUCAGAUUGGAAAUGAUCAUUUACCAUAUUCAUAUACGAGGAAUAUAUAAAUGUUUUGAAGAGAAUUAUACAUAAACACUAGAUGGUAUUAAAAUAAGCCAAAUAAAUCAAUAACAAUCAUAUGUCUUGUAUCAUAAGCAAAGAUAGCAUUCAUGUAUUGCUAGCUAAUACUAAAAACUUCACCCAUAAAUUGGCUUAGGAAUUAAAAAGAUUGAUUACCCGGCUAGAAAAAAAGGAUUAUCCUACUGCAUCGUAUAUUAGCAAUACCAUAUCCUAUCAAUUGGUCUCGUAUUCAGAUCAGAUUGUUGUCGGAUAUCAAAAUCUCUUAUCGUAUCCUAUAAAAACAGAUUCGGGAACAGUUUCGGACGAAAAUUAUCCUAAUCAUUUUGGAGUUGGUCCAAAUAAUAGUUGAUUUUGUCAUCACAAAUGUUUUGUUGUUGUUGUGCUAAAUCAUGGUUGAAUUUCGUAUUUUAUUUUAUUAGAUUAGUUUAGAAAACAUUUACAAUAUAUUUAUAGCAUUAGUUGACAAAUUAUUUAUACAUCUGGAUUUAUUUAUGUGCCUUUGUCAAUAGUAUUUGGUAGAGCAUACUAGAUUGCACAAAUCAAAUACAUUGUUUGAUACAAGUUUCUAGUGCAAGAGUAUCAAAUUUAGGAGUAACUAAAUAAUGAAUUCUAGUUCACUGCCAACAAAAAUUAAUGAACUCUAGAGUGUGUAUGAGUUGCCAACAUUAGGUUUCCCCUCAAGCCCCUUCUACGGUCUCGCUCAUUGGCGGUACUCCUUUGUACAUCCAAUUUCUUAACUAGGGGUCAAUAGUUAGUCAUGGUUACAUGCCUGUUGUCCAUUGUGUUUGUAUGAAAAUCAUAAUUUUUUGUAAUAGGCCUAAAUAUUUAGAAUUGAAACAAUAAAUUAUUGUAAGCUACCCACAAUGUGUACUCAGCCUAGAGAUACCAGCAAUUUGGCAAUACCCACUUGAACCAACCCAUAUGCUCCCAUUAUAUGAGUGGCUGACAUGUCUCAGGCACUUAAUAUCUUUAGAUUUAUUCUUUUUUGUGGGGAGAUUUGUAGAAGUAGUUUUCUCAACCAAAAUUAUGGGUCCAUGUCAUUUUCACUUUCAAUUUCAGAAAUAUUUCAGCAACAACCGGAUUAUCACAGUGACUAGUGAUUUCGGUUUGCAUUCCGGCCAAAGGGCCAAAACAUUCACUUGAAUUCAACCAAGUAUUUGGAAAUUCUGAAAAAUACUUAAAUUCAUAUGUACUGCUAAAAUUAUUGAAAUAUUUUAACUGAAAGGUAUAUAUUUUGGUGUCUACAGAAAUUCGGUGAACUUCAUCAACAUCUCACAGGAAGAGAAAACCAUCUGUUGAAACCAACACACUCAACAAGAUUUGCGUAUUCACAGGCUACCUAAAAUCAAACAUCGACCCUUAAAUUAUACCUGUCCUGCUAUAUUGCUUGAACUUAAUAUUACUGUACUAGUAGUCAUGACCCUCUAAUACGAACUAGCAUGGUGCCCACACGAUUAUGAGGGAAAUGUGGUUCUAGUUACCUUUGAAAAAGGCCUGGCGUAUUUAUUUACGGGGGACUGCACAUCAUUGGAUUUAGCCGACGGAAUUUACAGGAGACUACACAUCAUUAGAUCGAUUCACAGAAUUAAAGCUCGCAUAUCCUGCAAAAAGAAAUAGAGCAUGGGUCGCACAGCUCUGGAUGAUUGUGUUUUUGUACAUUAUUAGGUAGUCAGGCUUUUUGUACAUGAUGUUAGAUUAGGACGCUGAAUUAGAGGCUAGCUAAUACAGUUGUACAAGGCAGUCAGAAUCAUGAUACUGAAUCGGAUCGGAGCACCCCUGCCAGGAUCUUAAAUCGUAGAAUCUUCACUGUUAGAAUUUUGGAAGCGUAGAUUCUACUGGCCAAAAUCCUAUAAUCAUAGGAGUUGAUUUGGUUCUUGAAGUAGUUGUAGAAUCGUACAGUGAAAUCGCAAUUCUGUCUACCUUGAGUUGUACUGUCCCAUCGUUUCCUCUCUGUGUCAGUAUUAGAUUAGGACACUGAAUUAGUGGCUAGUAUGGUUGGACUGAGCGAAGAAGACUGAUUAGAUGUUGUAGCAUGAUUUCUUAGCACGUGGCCUCUCCUAUUCAGCCUUGUAUGAAGCAUCAUUCAGUCUAGGCCUGGCAUUGUCCUAGAGUAUAUCCUCAGUUUGAUCCUCAUUGUGCCUUUGCAGCCAGAGCUCGGCUGCUGCAAAGGACGUUUCUGCCUUGCACCAUGCAAGACGAGAACGGGUAUAAAUGACAAUGUGUGCUCCCCGGAUGAAACAGAGUGCCACACCAGGGGGGAGAAGGGAGAAGAUGUGCAGCUGAAUUGCUGGGCAGGGUCUCCUUUGGCAGAUGUUGCCGCAGUCCGACACCGGUGUGUGUCGGGUGUUGCCAUUCGGGGGUCUGCCAAAGGAAAUUUGCCCCGGAAUUCAUCUGCACAAGCACAGAUGGGAGAAGAGAAGAUGGGUCUCAAGUUGCCUAGGUGCGAAUGUACAUUAUAUAUUUGGUGUUACAUUCUGACUGUGUUACAGUUGGGUCUGUGUACUCUGCAGUUCGUCAACAUCAGCUGCAUCACCAUUUACUGAUGAAAAAUGGGAAUCUUGGCAGAAGAAAGAGGAUGCUACAUCUUCUUGGUUAUCUAUCUCUACACACCAUUAGACUAUAUACAGGUAGCUAAAUGUGAUCAAAUGGUAUCAACAGGAAUCAACAUGUAAAUUCCUCUGUUCUGUUGCUA